ensembl:misc_RNA Metazoa_SRP Metazoan signal recognition particle RNA
GCUGGGUGUGGUGGUGCACACCUACAGUCCCAGCUACUUGGGAGGCCGAGGCGGGUGGAUCACUUGAGCCCGGGAGGUCAAGGCUGCAGUGAGCCAUGGUUGCACCACUGCACUCCAGCCUGGGCAACAGAGUGAGAUCCUAUCUCAA